rnacentral:lncRNA from 1 species
CAAGCCUUGAAACCCCGGGCAGUUUUAGAGUUUUCAGAGAGGCUCCUCACAACAGGUGGCUGGUGUGCACCUGGGCCUCUUGGAUUUCCCUUUCAAAAAUGGGAAUAGAGGGAUCUCGGGCACUGAAGGGGGACCAUGGGCAGUGUGAGGGCAGGCACACGUGAUGGUGGGGUGCAGUGGCGGGAAGCUCGGUGCCAACUCUCCUGCUGGGCUGCCAGAUUUCCUGAAUGCGGUGAAGAUCCUAAUGUAUGAAAAUGAAGUCCCAGGCAACCAUGAUUUGCUGUUUAAUGUUAUUUCUGGCCACAGAAUGUUCUCACUAUAGAUCCAAGAUGCACAUAAAGGUAAGUUUGAUCCAUUUUUAGGUGGUCCCAUGAGAAAUCUGUCUGUUCUCCUAGAUGGCUAAAUUUAUUAUAAAUAACAUAAUCUUAAAUAAAUUUUCAAAUGACUACAAUUUUACUCCUGCUGAUAGUUUUUUUUUUUUUUUUAAGGGAACAAAGACAAAUUGAGAGGUGGCUGGGACUUGUAACAGUACAUUUGCAGGGUGCAACAAGUGUAAUAAUAUAGUUGAAAAAUCACUUUGCAAGCCACAAAAUAUGUAGAUAGGCAGUUGUUGGGAGGAGGAAGUACUAGCCUGGCAGCUAGCAAUUCAGCCCCAGACCUUAACUUUGCUUCUCAUUAGUUGCACAAGUUGUUUUGCUUCUUUGAAUCUUAAUUUCCUUAUCUAUAACAUAGGGUGUUUUGUUCAUUUAUUUUUAUUUAUUUUAUUUUUUAUUUUUGUAUAUUUUUUUAUUG